rnacentral:lncRNA from 1 species
GCCUUGACACCUUCGGUGAGCGCCUUCUCAAUGUCGAUGGUGCCGCACACCCUGUCCUCGGUGGCGCCGAGGGGCAGGUCGACCAUGGUGAUCUUGGUGGUGGUCACGGGAAGGUCCUCGCCCUUGAGGAGGCGGUCACGGACCUCGGGGCCCAUGACCUCGGGGUCGAAGGGGUCGGAGUUGAACGGGUCGCCGACAACGACGCUGAUGUCCGGGAGCAGGUCGACGAGG